AUGGGUAACUCCAGGAUCUUAUUACGAGAAUAUUAACACCUGAUCAAAUGGAACUCGGACUGGUCCAUUUAAAUGAAAAAUGUUUUUUCCUAGUUUAAGUUCGUGUAGAGUUUGAUCUCCAUAUGUCAAUUAGUGUGUGUCAGCUGUCAAUAUUUAUUUACGUAGCGAAAAAUUUGUCUGUCGUUUUUUAACAUGAAAAAAACAAAUGAACAAUGAGUUUGUUUGAAAUUUUAUUUUUCCAAUCGAAUCACGCUUACAGAAACAUAGAAAAUAAUGGAGAAUUAUUUUAGGAAGUCGACUUUAUCACAAAGAGAAGUAUUUGAGUGGCAUGAAGUAUUCAGUGUAGACCGUAAAAUCACCGAAAACUUACCUCAUACGAUUCAUUCAUCCAACUCUGUUAGUGACGAUAACAUCGAAAAAGUUAAAGUAACAGUGGUCGCAAAUUGUCAUGUAGGCAUCAGGGAGAUAGCAGAGGAUCUCGACAUCCCUUAGGAUUUGACUUAAAACAUUUUGGUUAAUGUUUUGGGUAAGAAACGUGUCCAAAACGUAGCUGAGGAUCCUACAUUUAUUCAAAGCAUAAUAUCUGGUGAUGCGAUGUGGUUUUAUGAAUAUGACGUUGAAACUGUUGAACAAUCUAGCGAAUGACGUUCCAAAAAUAAACCGAACACAAAAACAAUACGUCAAAAAUUGAGGUGAUGCUCAUCGUUUUCUUGAUUACCGUGGAGUAGUUUAACAUCAGUUCAUUUAACAGUGUCAAGUGAUCAAUAAGGAAUACAGUUUGGCCAUUUUGGGGCGUCGAUAUGAAGACACUCGUGGUAAACGACCGAACUUGUGGGAUUUGUAAAAUUCAUGGAUUUUUCACCAAAUUAAUGCGCCGUGCAUUCUAGGAAGAUUGUAUUCGACUUUUUGGUCCAACAACGAUCGAGAAUUAUCACCACUGUGUUCACUAUAUAUGGAUCCCUGUAACUUUUUUCUGCUAACGAAACUGAAAAAUCAGCUUCAGGGAACGCGCUAUGAGUCCAUUAAAUUUAUUAGAGGUCAUUCGUUGAAAGCACUGAAGGCGUCCCAGCCGUAUCUUAUAACAAGAGUAUGUAUAAUUGCGUUGGCAUGCGGGUAUUGGCGCAAGAGCCUAUUUGAAGGCUAUUAUAAGUAUUUGUAUUAAAAUACGUGAAAUGUUCGAUCAAAUGGUCUAUAGCAUAUAAAUUUGGUUCAAAAUGGUGCGAGUAAUAUGUAAAAUAUGAAAUUCCACUACUCAAUUUAUCUACUCUAUAUUUCUCUAUAUCUACACACUGCCUGUUGUGAAUAAUAUCAUUUUGUGGAUGAACGAGUCUAUAUUUUACCAAGUCUGUAUUUGAGCAGUGAUUUGACCUCUUCUUAUAAAGUCAAAUAUUUACCUGCUAGGGUUCUAUGAAAUAUUUCUGUUAACAUCAUUUGCAAAUACCUAAUCAAUUUAUGGUCCUCUAUUGUCUAGUGCAAAGCAUACGCCUACAAACUUAAAUGUGCACUAAGUGCAUUUAUGUGUAUGUAUGUUUGUAAGUGUGUUAAGAUCAUUUAUAGUGGUGUAAAAUUUGUUAAUGAUGCCACAUAUUAUUCAAAUAGGGGUGUUUAAGUUGCGAUUUUCAGGGAUUUUGUCGAAUAAAUGGUUUAAGGUGAGUAACAUAUUGUCUUUGCGCCAGAAGCUCAAAUUUUACACGAAAGAGUGCAGAGAAUUGUCUAUAGAAGAUUUUCUUGUAGAUUUUUUCGAGACGCGGUAAGAUGAAGAAGGUGUCUACGUAGAUUGAUACUGGAAAGUAUUGUGAUAUGCACAUUAGAGUUCAGGAAAAGUAUAUAUAAACUAACAUUUUCCGGUUUGGAACUCUUGGAAUGUAUCAGUUACCAAAACUUAAAUAUCUAUUUACGAAAAGCAUAACAGAAAUAAGUAGUUUCGUUGAAAGCACCAAAUAGUUUGAACAAAAUAAUUAAACGAGGCGCAUUUACCUGCUUUGCCAAUUAAUGAUUUAAUUUAGUCAAUUAGCACUCUAUCAACUGCCUGACUAAAUUAAGAGUUGUUUGAAAGACCACUAUGAGAAUUAAGUUCUAAAUUGUGAUAUCGAGUUUCUGACACACUUCAAUUGGAUCUCAUAAAAUUAGUGUUAGAC